CUGAGGGGCGGUGGCUGGCGGCGGGUUGCUGCUGACCUCCGGAGCGAGACGGCGGGAAGCGUCGGAGUUGUGACUCCGUCGGGGCGCGGAUGGGGGGGUUAGCAGACUCAAAAUGGGGCCGGAUGACACGAAAAUGAGGUGUAAUUCUCGGAGAACUGAAGAAAACCUGACCAGAAGCUCAGCUUUUCACCUGGGAGCAGGACAGGCUAUGCAUCAAAUGGGGGUAGAUCAACGUGGAGGGCCGGGGCUGCUGCGGAACGUGUCUGGAGGCGCGGGAGAUCCCUACCAGAGCAUGGGAGGUAACACCCCGACAGCUGCACUGCAACACUUGGUGUCCCGAGCCAGUAUAUAUAUCCACAUUGGUUAGCACUCUGUUAUCGUAACAAAUGUCUUCACAACCCGAAGGGCAAGAAAAUAAAAGUUCUCUUUUCCGUGGA